UGGGGAAUAUUGCACAAUGGGCGCAAGCCUGAUGCAGCCAUGCCGCGUGUAUGAAGAAGGCCUUCGGGUUGUAAAGUACUUUCAGCGGGGAGGAAGGGAGUAAAGUUAAUACCUUUGCUCAUUGACGCUACCCGCAGAAGAAGCACCGGCUAACUCCGUGCCAGCAGCCGCGGUAAUACGGAGGGUGCAAGCGUUAAUCGGAAUUACUGGGCGUAAAGCGCACGCAGGCGGUUUGUUAAGUCAGAUGUGAAAUCCCCGGGCUCAACCUGGGAACUGCAUCUGAUACUGGCAAGCUUGAGUCUCGUAGAGGGGGGUAGAAUUCCAGGUGUAGCGGUGAAAUGCGUAGAGAUCUGGAGGAAUACCGGUGGCGAAGGCGGCCCCCUGGGCGAAGACUGACGCUCAGGUGCGAAAGCGUGGGGGGCAAACAGG
rnacentral:rRNA from 1 species